UACGAAGGGGGCUAGCGUUGCUCGGAAUCACUGGGCGUAAAGGGCGCGUAGGCGGGUUUUUAAGUCAGGGGUGAAAUCCUGGAGCUCAACUCCAGAACUGCCUUUGAUACUGGAGAUCUUGAGUCCGGGAGAGGUGAGUGGAACUGCGAGUGUAGAGGUGAAAUUCGUAGAUAUUCGCAAGAACACCAGUGGCGAAGGCGGCUCACUGGCCCGGUACUGACGCUGAGGCACGAAAGCGUGGGGAGCAAACAGG
rnacentral:rRNA from 1 species